UGGCCCAUGGGGAGAAUAAUCCUUCCUUUCUCUCCUGUGCCCCCAUUUUCUCUUUUGUUUAUGUAGCCUGUAAACUCUUAAGGGCAGAGUCAAUCUCUCACUAUGUGUUUGUGCAGCUCCUAGCACCAUGAGGCCCUGGUCUCAGCUACGGCCACUGGACACUACUAUAAUGCAAAUCAAUACUGCCAUUUCAGCAGUGGAUGCACCGAUUUCUAUCUGCCGUUCGUGAAAAGCACUAGGACCCCCUUAGGAUGAAAGAAAAGAUACAGCUGAGACACCAUAUGUGGAAGCGACUUGCCCAAAGCAACACAGCUGAGCGAGGAACAGAACCAAGAAUUGAACCCAGGAGUCCUGCUCUGACUAAGACAACCCUGACACCGAAGGUGCUGCAGUUACAAGACCCUACAGAAGACUGGAGCACCUUCAGUAUCCAAAUGGGAGAGAGCCUGUUCAUCUGAACCUCACGCAGCUACAAUUGGCUGUAAAAGGGAUGGUUUUCUUUAUUCAACUAAAGUUUCCUGGGAAGAAGUGGCAAUAAUCCAAGCUCCUACUGUAGAUCAGGGUGGGGUGGAUUUUCAAAGGCACAAACUGGAGUAGGAUGCCUAAUUGCCCUUUGGGCCUCAGGAAAACAUGUAGUUGUUAUGGACUGCUCCAG